CAGUCGCCACGGUAAUACGGAGGGGGCUAGCGUUGUUCGGAAUUACUGGGCGUAAAGCGCACGUAGGCGGCUUUGUAAGUCAGAGGUGAAAGCCUGGAGCUCAACUCCAGAAUUGCCUUUGAGACUGCAUCGCUUGAACGUCGGAGAGGUGAGUGGAAUUCCGAGUGUAGAGGUGAAAUUCGUAGAUAUUCGGAAGAACACCAGUGGCGAAGGCGGCUCACUGGACGACUGUUGACGCUGAGGUACGAAAGCAUGGGGAGCAAACAGGAUUAGAUACCCCGGUAGUCCCUGUCUCUUAUAC
rnacentral:rRNA from 1 species